AUGUUGAGGUGUAAAAACAGACUAAUACGACGGUUACCCUGGCUCUUCGCCCCUCCUUCUCGCAGGGCUCGAGGGACCAUUGCUGAACCUCGCGUGAGACAGAUCAAGAUCAAGACCGGCGUGGUGAAGCGGUUGGUCAAAGAAAAAGUGAUGUAUCAAAAAGAGGCAAAACAACAGGAAGAAAAGAUUGAAAAAAUGAGAGCUGAAGAUGGUGAAAAUUAUGACAUUAAAAAGCAGGUAGAGAUCCUACAAGAAUCCCGGAUGAUGAUCCCAGAUUGCCAGCGCAGGUUGGAAGCCGCAUAUUUGUAUCUUCAACAGAUAUUAGAAUGUGAAAAAGACUUGGAAGAAACUGAGGAAUAUAAAGAAGCACGUUUAGUACUGGAUUCAGUGAAGUUAGAAGCCUGAGACUUUUCUUGUAUGGGGUGGUUUUUGCAUUAAAUCCUGGGGUCCAUUUUACAAUCCAUUAUUUUUGACCACUGCU